UCUCAAUGGUGCUCACUUGCUUGGAAGCAG
rnacentral:piRNA from 1 species